UACGAAGGGGGCUAGCGUUGCUCGGAAUCACUGGGCGUAAAGGGUGCGUAGGCGGGUCUUUAAGUCAGGGGUGAAGUCCUGGAGCUCAACUCCCAGAACUGCCUUUGAUACUGAGGAUCUUGAGUUCGGGAGAGGUGAGUGGAACUGCGAGUGUAGAGGUGAAAUUCGUAGAUAUUCGCAAGAACACCAGUGGCGAAGGCGGCUCACUGGCCCGAUACUGACGCUGAGGCACGAAAGCGUGGGGAGCAAACAGG
rnacentral:rRNA from 1 species